ACUAAAAAUUUACAGUAAGAGUUAAUUACUUUUUUGGAUUCAUAUAUAAUUUUUAAGUGGUAUGCCAACUGUCCAAACUAUGUACUGGUUUUCUUGCCCAUUAAUUUGAUAUUUCCUUUUCAUAUAAUUUUUCUCCAUAAUGAGAUAUCACCUUACACUCGUGAGGAUGGCUGUUAUCAGAAGAAUGAAAGAUAAAAAGUGUUGGUGAGGAUGUGGAGAAAUUCAAACUCUGGUGCAGAUGGUGUGAAUGUAAAAUGGUACAGCCGCUAUGGAAAACGGUAGGGAGGUUCCUCAAAAAGAGAAAAAUAGAACUACCAUAGGAUCCAGUCACUCCACUUGUAGGUAUUUAUCCAAAAGAACUAAAAUCAGGAUCUUGGAGAAACAUUAACAUGCUCAUGUUCAUUGCAGCACUGUCAAUAUGAGCUAAAAUGUGGAAACAGCCUAAAUGUUCAUCAACGGGUGAAUAAAGAAAAUGUGGUGGAUACAGAAUAUUACUCGGCCUUAAAAAAAGAACGAAAAUCGUGCCAUAUGUGACAAUAUGGAUGGACCUGAAGGACAGUAUGCGAAGGGAAAUAAGCCGGUCCCACGAACGUUAACUGAUUUUCCUACACGCAUGUGGGUAAUCGCUCAGCGCUCUUCGGUAGUGAUGAAAGAAUCAGACUCCACUGCAGAAACACCUCAUUCUAUUCUCAGAAGAGUAAAAUGGAGGAACGCCAGUGAACAAACAACACACCAGGGGUGUGGCAGUUGUUGCUAUUCAGAAAAAGAACACCUGCGGGGGGAAAAGGGUGAGUGGAGGAGGGGAUCUGCGAGCUGUUUGGUGUAGAGUGGUUGCUGAGCCGGGGGCACCCCCGAUGCAAAGUCAGACCCAAGCUCACACCUUUAUUGCUGCCUAUGGUGGUGGCAACCUCACUCUCGUUAUUGAAACAGGACACGUGGUCUAAUUGCUGGGUUUUAUUGACGGAGGUAUUUGAAACUGGGUCUUACUGAAAAAAUUUAGUGUGGGUUGUUGCCCUACUGAGCUGAUUGUACGCCUUAGUCCUAUGGUCCCUGCAGUGAGCGGCCGCCCUCUGUGAGUUCCCCUCCGGUGAUUAAAUGGGGGAAUAAGUGCAAGAAAGCCAGCUGCGGGCAGUAGCAGCUAGUGUGUCUCUCUGAUUCUCAGUCACCUUCUUUUAGCACUGUUUUUUGGUUUCCUGCUGAAGAAAGACAACUGAAGCCAGUCACCCUGCAAGUUCACCGGUGCCUGUCACCUCCCUCUCAGGCCCGGGAGCCCCGCCUCUGCAUUGGCAUCCCCCCACCCCGCUCCCCGCUUUCCUGAGCACGUGGCUCGCCUGGUUGUGAAACUUCUUGUUUGGGGAGUAAUCCUAUCUCACCCUAUCUGCCCCAGUUACGCUGAAGUCAAGCGAGGACUGUUUUGUCAAAGUCGAGUGGUGCCCAGAACCCAUCUCUGAGCUGCUACCCACCUCUUCUCUUCAAAAACAGGAAGUCACCUCAGGCCAGAGUAAACCAGUCCUAAUGCCUUGGGGUGUGCAUUUUGUUAGAGCUCAGAAGGUUGGUUUAAAACUUGGCAAGUGACAUCCCUGGAUGGCCUGGCCAUGUUCUUUUUGUCUCCUACCAAGCUUCUCGAUUUCUCCUUCGCCCUGAUCUUUACUCUAUGAUUCGGAGUCAAGCUUCUUGGGUGAGACCUUCAAGAAAAGUCAACGGUGGGUUUAGAGCCCCUCCCAGGGAUUUGAGGACCCCGUCCUGCAAGUAGACAGUUGACUUUGGGGGUUGGAAUAAAGGAUAAGGCCCCAGAUUCUGGAAUCCUUUUUUUUUUUAAUUAAUCUUAUUUGGUUUUUAUGUUAGUUUUAUGUUAGCUGACACUACUGCCUCAGAACCAAAGUGAUACACUUAUUUAUUUUAUUUAUUAAUUAUUAUAUAAUGUAGAACAGUCUGGUUUUGUUGCUUUUAAGUGAUGAAGAGCCUUUCUUUGCUCCCCACCAACCUUUUUUCUUUUCUUUUUUUAGGACUUGCAUUAAGUUGUGAAUCAGAUGUUAAGCGAAGUGGAGACGGAAGGAAAAUUGAUGACUUCAUACUAUUUUUACAACUUUACAACAAAUAUAAGUCUGAGUCUGUCGCAUGUACCAGGGUCUAAUAAGGGCAGAAAGCAAAGGCAAACUCAAGUUUAUGAGCCCUCCCCCUACACACAGAGGUGCCGGGGGACGGGGAAAAAUUAUUAAAUGCAGAAGACUAGCUCAAAAAGUGUGGGCAUUUUAGGGUUAACACUGCAAGUAAUAGGUUGUGGAAAGCAGGAGUGUGGGAUGUAAGUUUUGACACAGGUCUCCUUAGCACAGCUGGGGCAGUGAUGGCCACAAACACGAGACAAGACAGCAGCUCAAGUCAAUGGUGGGCGUGGCACCUUCCGAACUCCUGGGAGUCAAACACAAGGGGCAGGGUGGCGUCCACCCAUCACUUUCCUAAAUCCUGCAUUUCUAAAGACAAUUCAAGGAAGCAAACAAUAUCUUGGUUUCUAGAAAAGAUUUCAGGGUUCUAGGGGACAGAGUUCAUAGGACGUGAACAUUGAUUCCACUACAAAAACAAGUAAAAAAAAAAGAAAACAAAAAAACAAAAAAACAAGUAACAACAACCACCUAACCUAAGCAACAGCAAAACUGCAAGGAGCUUUUGGAACAAAGGGCUGUGCCCUCAGCCUCCAACUACACACUCAGGCCUCAAGGUGACCUCUCUGGUUACGGAGGCAUCACCUUUUCACUGCAAAGUGAUACAUUUAUGUAUUUCAUCAUCAAGAAGGAAAAUACCAGUUUUACUUUUUAGGAGGCAUGCUGUUAGCUUUAUCCUAAGCUGCUAUUGUAAUUCGGGGAUAGAUCAAGACACAGACACAAGGACUCAUGUGACUGGUGAUCAGGGCCACCCGAAUGGAGUGUGUCCAGGGAGUUGCCUCUAUAGCAUCGUUGACUGUGUUCAUGUCCACACAAGGACACUUUUCGUAAAACCCCUGCACACAGAGGUCCCCAGCACCUCUGUGUGUA
ensembl:lincRNA